rnacentral:hammerhead_ribozyme from 1 species
AUCCAGUUGACGAGUCCCAAAUGGGACCAAAUGAGCAUCCUGGAU